AACGCUAGCUACAGGCUUAACACAUGCAAGUCGAGGGGCAUCAGGGUAGCAAUACCGCUGGCGACCGGCGCACGGGUGAGUAACACGUAUCCAACCUACCGUUAACUCGGGGAUAGCCUUUCGAAAGAAAGAUUAAUACCCGAUAGUAUAUUUUCUUCGCAUGUUGUAAAUAUUAAAGAAUUUCGGUUAUCGAUGGGGAUGCGUUCCAUUAGGCAGUUGGCGGGGUAACGGCCCACCAAACCUACGAUGGAUAGGGGUUCUGAGAGGAAGGUCCCCCACAUUGGAACUGAGACACGGUCCAAACUCCUACGGGAGGCAGCAGUGAGGAAUAUUGGUCAAUGGACGAGAGUCUGAACCAGCCAAGUAGCGUGAAGGAUGACUGCCCUAUGGGUUGUAAACUUCUUUUAUAUGGGAAUAAAGUUCUCCACGUGUGGAGUUUUGUAUGUACCAUUAUGAAUAAGCAUCGGCUAACUCCGUGCCAGCAGCCGCGGUAAUACGGAGGAUGCGAGCGUUAUCCGGAUUUAUUGGGUUUAAAGGGAGCGUAGGUGGACUGGUAAGUCAGUUGUGAAAGUUUGCGGCUCAACCGUAAAAUUGCAGUUGAUACUGUCAGUCUUGAGUACAGUAGAGGUGGGCGGAAUUCGUGGUGUAGCGGUGAAAUGCUUAGAUAUCACGAAGAACUCCGAUUG
rnacentral:rRNA from 1 species